rnacentral:lncRNA from 1 species
AACUGCCGGCCUCUAAGUCUACCAAACUAAGAGAAGGCGGCUGGCUCCCUUGUUACAGCAAGCUUUGAAUGAAUAGCCUGUUCUCAUUGGUGGUCUUCGUUUAUUUUAUUUCCACACAGCCUAAGGAAAGGUGGUAGAGAAGUGUGAAAAAGCUGUUCUUGAGAUUUUUUAAUUCCCUUUAAUUUGUUCAUCUAAAUUUGUAGUAUGUGGUCUCCCACCCAGCUUUUAAAACAUCCACUCAUUUAAGGGAAUAACUGGCAUCUUGUGCCCAUCCCGGAGAAAGAAUGGCUAAGUGGUUCUUUAAGAAAAUGUUGAAGUAUGAGGCCUCACUGUCUUUCCAAGUAGCAGGAAUGUGAAGGGGAGGAGAGCAAAAAGGGAGUGGGAGGGAGGAGAGCCUAGGGAUUUAAAACAGGCCACAGCCCGCUCAGGUCUCUUUCCCUAGACUGCUCAGACCAGCCAAAGGAAAGGGAUGUGUUCAUAAAUAAACUGUUACCUUCAAAGGGGGCCUGACUGAGGUCUUGACAAAAACCAAAAGUGAGGUGCCAUUUCUUCUGCAACCAAGAGCAGAAUAUGAAAUAGCUGCCUAUUCUCACCUAAAAAUCUGCCAGGGUUAAAACCUUUCAAGAGUCUGCAUAAUAUUGUUAUAAGAUUGUCAGAUAUCCCUCCAGUUUGUUUAUGUCAGCCCUUUUCAGCUUUCCGAUGAGAAAUAUAGAUGAUAUAGAAUUAAACUAUUAACCCUUGGCCCUUUUCUUCUUGGUUCAUAGAUCCAGUGGUUGAUAGAUCCAAUUCAACUAUCUCAAGAUCUUUUUUUCUCCCUAGUUCAAACAGAUUAAUAAGAACAGUAGAAAAAUAUGACACAGGUGAAUUAUUUGAUACAUAUGGAGGUUCCCAAGCUAAGGGUCUAAUUGGAGCUAUUGCUGCGGGCCUACACCAAAGCCACAGCAACGCCAGAUGUGAGCCAUGUCUUCGACCUAGACCACAGCUCAUGGCAAUGCUGGAUCCUUAACCCACUGAGCGAGGCUAGGGAUCGAACCCACAACCUCAUGGUCCCUGGUCUGAUUUGUUUCUCCUGCGCCAUGAUGGGAACUCCUGUAUUGGUCAUUGUCAUUUUGUUUUUAGUCACUCUCAAUUCUCCUGUCCUACUUUUUUUCAACUAGAUGCUGUUAGCUAAAAUGUUUGGCCUGGAUUGUUGCUGCCUCCUAGAGAUUCUGUCUAUAGGAAAGAUAUCUUAAAAAAGAUUCGUAAAUGGAAUUGAGAUUUUUCAGUAGCUCUGUUUAAAACACGCAGGACUCUGUGUGUGUGUGUGUGUGUGUGAAUGAGGUUCGAAUAAAAAUACUAUUUGGAAUUUGAUCACAAUAAUGGGUACUCCCCCAGCAAAUACUGUUUGCCAGUCUCACAGAGUAUCUGUAUUUACCUAAAAAUAACUAAAAGAAAGAAAAAGAAUCACAACUUACACUGAUUCAUCUUCAAUUUAUAAUAUUUAGAAUCUAGAAUUCCAAGUAAUUUGAACCUGGGGAAUAUACAUAUGUGAUACUAUCUUAAAAAACCCAAAUGUUUUUAAUAUGCUAUAAUAGAUUUCACACUUUUGACUUCCUGUUAUUUUUUUAAGCAAACAUAAUAGUUUUUUUUUUAACUUAAACUACAAGCAAAUGUAUUCAUUACCUAGAAAAAAAUUCACCCACAUCUUAUCCUCAAUAAAAUGAUUAUAUCACACCUGGCUAAGUUUUACAAUACAACAUUUUUCCUCUUUCACAAUCAGCAUAAUAUUUUGAUUUUCUAAAAGAAAUUUCAACAGAUAAAGUUCUUUCCAAUAUGCUCAAGCAAUAUCUGGGAAUUACUAGCCAAGACUUAAGGCUAAUAGGCCCAAGGAGCCAAGUGCCAUUUUCUUUGGACUUCACAGCAGGUAGAAAUUGCCUCUUCAAUUUAUACACCUGAAGAAAAUGAAGCAGCAUCAGCCUACUGAGGGCUUGACAAAGAAAGAAAUCCUCAGAGAGGUGCAAGUACUGCCCUGAAGUUAAUGCAUACUAAGCAGAUAUAUCUAAUCACAGAGAGACCGCAUUUGGCACAUUUUUGUUGCAAUAAAUGUUCCGCUUCCAGAAUAAAUUCAAGUUGAAAAAUAAGAAAUCAAUAUUGCAAACAAGGAAGGAAGUGAGUAGGUUAAACACAUUUCCCCCAAACUAUCAGGUUUUGGUUUACAGAAUUUAUAUUCAUCUCCCCCUUCCCGGGUACCACACCAGCUAGCUCAGCUCACCAAAUUUGGCCUCAUCAGAUCCCAGCAUUGUUUGUGUUCUGGUCAUCACCCAGAGAAUUCUAGCUAUUCAUUUUGCCUCCUCAAUUUUCCCUCCUGUGCACCAGCUACUCAUUAACUUGAAAAUAAUGUAUGCUGGUAAGACACUGAAGUCUGGAAGCUAGUUUGUUGUUGUUUCUCCUUUUUCAGCUGCACCCAUGGCAUGUUAGGUUGCUGAUGGGUGAUGUUGAUAGGGGUCUCUGGCAAUCCUAUGGAAUUGUCGUGGAGUGGGUAUGUGCCUGGUGCCUCCUUUGUACCCAGGACCUUGUAACAACAUUAUAUUUCUGAAUGACCUUCUCAGAAGGGCAGAAACAAUCAUGACAAAAUGCCCAGCCCUGAUUUCCUGGCCCUAGUCAAUCUGCAGGGCCUUCUAUUGAUCCUUGAAGAUAAAACUUAGGUAUCUUAGGUGAUCUUAGGUAUGAGCUGUGGGAAGCUAGCUUAUAGCUAUAGAGUGGGCAGUCUCUGCAGUCCUGAGUGCCAGGGUUGGAUUAAGUAACAUCUACAGCUACCAGGACCAGACAAGGAACAAAGGAAGACAUUAUUUCAGUGCAGAGUUCUCCUCUGUGACCUUCCUAGCUCUUUAACUGCUUGAUGAAUUUUAAAGAUCAUUCUUUAUGUCAGCCCCCUCCUAAAUAACCCCUGAGUGUCUCCCAGUUCUUUUUUACCAUUUGGAGUCUUCAUUCCAUUGGCAGAUUGGGUCUGUCAAUGGGCCCGUCCAGUCUGAUUUCCCGUUCUCUCUCGAAAGCCUGUGUUGCCCUGAUCUCCUCAGGACCCAUUCCCUCACCUUCCAUUGUUUCCCUCAGAAACUCUCAUUUCUUUGGGAGCAAUCUCAAGCCCAUUCAAAACCCAGCAGAUUCCCACAAGCAGAUUCCCUACCCUCCCCGCUUCCCACUCCCUUGCUCCUGCCCAGCCAGAGGCCAGAUACUGAGUCAGUCAGAUCUGGGUUCAAAUCCCAGUUUUUCCACUUAUUAACUCUAUAAACUUGGGAAUCUUUUUAAAUUUCCGAGCUCCUGUUACUUCAUUUAUAAAAUGGAAAUAAAAGAACCUAGAGCUCUGUGAGAGUGAGAAUUUGUAUAAAUUGCUUGUUUUCGUAGUCAGAAAAUAGCACUCAAAAAAAAAGUGGUGUUGCCAUUGUUAUUUUAUCAACUUUCACCUGAACCUCUGCUUUUUCUAUCAGAUUAGAGCCUGUGGUUGGCCAGUUCUUUUUCCCCAGCCUGUAUCACCUCUUAUUCUUCAACUUAGUACUCUACCAACCUCAGUAAACAAGAGCCAUGCUCUAAUUCCACAGCUUCUGCUCCAGGAAUGUUAGUGCGGGAGAGAGCCCCAUAACCAGGCUGACUGGCCCAACAGCUGAGCCCUUUCUGAGGCCCUUCGACCUCUUUCUGGUGGUUCUUCAUCAUGGCUGGUCAUUAACAUCAACACAAGCACUUUUUUUUUUUGGCCACACUCGUGGCAUGUAGAAGUUCCUGGGCCAGAUAUUGAACAUAUGCCAUAGCAGUGACAAUGCCAGAUCCUUAACCUACUGAGCCAUCAGAGAAUUCCGACACAGGCCCUUUUGAAAAUGCCAGGUGCCGAUUUUUUUCUACUAUCUUUAUCCCUUCCCUUCACCCACAUCCUCCCCAAAUUCAUCAAGCAAGCAUUUGAGGACUGUGGUGUACUAGACACAAUUUCCUUUUCAAAUUUCGAUUUGGAUUUGAAUGUAUGAUUUGAUGCUUAUCUAUGUUCAGGCAGAAAGAGGCAUGAGUAAUUUUGAGUUUGAAAUCUCUUCCAGAAGACAAAGUACUUCAGUGAGUAAAGCUUUAGCAUUUUUGGUUAUAUUCAAAAAGAGGAUUAUUUGACAUGAAAUAGUAUUGUCUCUAGAUAUUCCCAUCUUCAGUUUGAAAAUAUCCAAAACUUGCAUAGGUCAUAAAGGAGGAGAGCUUUCCUUUCUGUCAAUCAUACAGAAGCAAAGGAAAUCACUUUUCCUGUACGUAUCACUUGGGAAAGGAGUGAGCUUAUCUUUCAAUUGUUUUGAGUUUUACUUGUGUAUUUAAUUUAGCAUUCUUUUGUUGAGUCACAAGAUUUAUGGAAAAAUAAAUGUUUAAUGCUGAGAAAGAAAGAUAGGGAAAGAGAGAGAGAUGGAGUUCCUGUUGUGGCUCAGUGGAAACGAAUCCGACUAGGAACCAUGAGGUUGCUGGUUCAAUCCCUGGCCCUGCUCAGUGGGUUAAGGAUCCGGCAUUGCCGUCAGCUGUGGUAUAUGUUGCAGACGCGGCUCAGAUCUGACAUUGCUGUGGCUGCGGUGUAGGCGGAUGGCUACAGCUCCAAUUAGACCCCUAGCCUGGGAACCUCCAUAUGCCAUGGGUACGCCCUAAAAAUACAAAAAAA